GAUGAAGAACGUAGCGAAAUGCAAUAAGUAAUGUGAAUUGCAGAAUUCAGUGAAUCAUCGAAUCUUUGAACGCACAUUGCGCCCCUUGGUAUUCCGAGGGGCAUGCCUGUUCGAGCGUCAUUUCAACCCUCAAGCACAGCUUGGUCUUGGGCUUCGCCGCUAACCCGGCGGGUCUUAAAAUCAGUGGCGGUGCCGUCGGGCCCUGAGCGCAGUAAUCUCUCUCGCUAUAGGGUCCCGGCGGAUGCUGGCCAGUAACCCCCAAUUUUCUAUGGUUGACCUCGGAUCAGGUAGGGAUACCCGCUGAACUUAAGCAUAUCAAUAAGCGGAGGA
rnacentral:misc_RNA from 1 species